AGUUAGCUAUGGGCUACAACAUUGUUGUAGUCUACUUAUGUGGCUAUUUUGAAAGGUUGAACCCCUUAACUAUGCAGAAUUAUCUGUUAGUAGUUCCUGAACGCAACGCACUCAUGGACGCACACACAGAUAUUAAUGAGUUACUUUAAAAAUGAUGAUUAUCAGGCGAGAUUUGGAGUUUAAAGAAGCGUCUUUUUUUUCUGGGAUUUCCGGACGAGUGUUGCGAUGAACAUCAAAGGUGUCCAUUGAAAUGCAGCUGAAAGAGCUUCCUGUCCACAUUCUGGCGGGUACCGAGCCAGUGAAUGGUCCAUGUAAAUGUCAGGACGCCUUGCAAGAUGGCUUUUUUGUUCCAUCGGAGGAGGUUCGGAAAGGUGUGAACCAUUAUUUCACCCCAUAAAGUGGAGAUUUGUCAGGGUUCACCAGGCAUUUCGACGCUCUUUCCCCCUCCUCAAAGCCGGAGACAAAACCCCAUCGUACACUUUCAAAAACAACCUCCUUAGUUAACGACUUUCCCUCCCAAUUAGUCUUGAAGGCACAAAUAACAGCCAAUACUGAUAUUACCUGCUCUCUCCCAUAUCCAUAUUUGAACUUUUACUUGCUCGCAACAGGUCGAUGUCAUUAAUUUCCCAGUUAAUUAUCUUAUCUUAUUUACCAUAAAUAUUAACUGAACGAGUGAGGGGUUUUGCCGAGCUGGUCCCAGUGCUCUUACUCACACUUCUAAUUAAAACUCAUCUAAACGUCAUUAUUUUUGCCACAACUUAUUCAUGUAAACCAGUUUUUAAUCACCAACACUGACACUUCAACUCAUGGGUUGGAUUAGUCAGUGUGGGGGGCGAGGGGGUAAAAUAAACCCACCUGACCAAACCCCACACAAACUAUAUAUAAAAUGAAAUUACAAUUAAAGCUUAGUGAACACAUUAAAUAGCACUUUAAGGCUAAAGCCAGGCUUUGAAGCAACAUUGCACAGUGUGUGUUUAAAUAGUCACAGAACAUGGAAAUUAAUAAAUAUCAUUGGAGGCAAACGAGGAGAUAAAUUUGAUGCGUGCGGAACAGAAAUUAUAUUUAAAAAAGAAAUGGAGGAAGAUGACGCCAUCGCCCUCACACUUUUCAAUUAGUGUGCAGGCAGACACCUCAGCAUCACCGGCCUAAACCCUCCAGAGGAAAAAAAGAAAAAGAAAAGGAGCAUUAGCAGUCAUAUGCCAACCAGAUUUGUCCCAUUAUUCAUUACAAUUAAUUGCUUCUCCGUACUGCCGGCCUUUCCCAGGAAGGACAACUCCUCCGCCGCUGCAGACCAUAAUAUGAACGAAGGACUUAAAGCUGCCAUUCAAAUCUCACCGUGACCUUUCGGGAGAAAAGGCUGUUCUUCACGCUGUUUGCAGGAAGCAGACUGGAUGCAGUUUAGUGAGUGUGUGUGUGUGUGUGUGUGUGUGUGUGUGUGUGUGUGUGUGUGUGUGUGUGUGUGUGUGUGUGUGUGCGUGCGAGAAUGUACUUCUAUACUUGUGAGAACCAAUCUGAGCGAGGGUGUUUUUCCCAGGUGUAACCCGACCCACCAGGUAACACUUUGCAUCAUCCUACUUAAGGAAUACACCGUUUAACGUACAGUAGCUGGUUUUCACGCUAAACAAUAGGAGGUCAGCGGCGAGGCACGAGAUUGGGUUUCAAUUCGAGAGAAAGAUAUGACUGAAGUCGACUAAGUAGCUGCUCAUAAGCUUUGCCUUGAUUCCUCAGUGAUUUGACAACAACAACACAUUUAAAAUCAAGUAAAUAACGACUCUUUCAUACAAUAAACACGUCACGUCUCUGGUUAUGACGCCAGCUAUGAAUGAUGCUCACAUAAGAAACACAAAAACCACAAUAAAGCUUUGCAAGCAACCAGAUACAUUUAAUAAGAUAAUUGCUUCUUUUUUUUUUUUACCUGAAGACUCUCAGUAUUUGUACAGGUUAUGCAACAUGAGUCUCUUUGAGUUGGGAUGAAGAUGAAAUUUCAUCUGCGGGAGACAAUCAAACAUAGGGAUCUGGAUUUAAGUCAUGCAGCCCACGAGCCAUUCUUGACGAGCAGUUUUAAGGGUCCUCGACGUGGAGGUAGCUGAACCACACACACACACACACACACUCACUCUUCAGGAAGUUACAGUAACAGUUCAUGGGAGGAAACCUUGUGGGAUUGUUUACUGUUCCAUGUAGAUAAAUCAGUUAGUGGUGAAUAUAAAGCAUAAUAUAAAGGCAGCACACGCUUACAAACACACACACACACACACACACAUACUAUAAAACCUUUAACAGGAGGUCUGUAUUGGUGAUGAGGGAGGACCUGUUUUUUUAUCACACAAAAUACGAUAAAGAAAGUCCAGUUUGAAGGCUUCUCAGAUGCCAAAACACUUCACAAUACUUUAAGAUUUGCUUAAAAAAGAGCAGAAAUACUGCAGAAGUAUGUGAUAUCACCUGUUAUUUAAACUGCAUAACUUCAAACCGGUGAGAAAAACAAAAAUAUUUACAGUCUUUGCAAUAGAAUUAGCAAAACUGUCCAAAUAAAUGGUCGUAAAAGAACUUAAAACCCGUCCCUUCCAUCAACACCUCUGUUCUAAAAUAACAAACACACAAUACAGUUUAAAUAAUGUUCUUUAUAUAACAACUGUGAUUUAAAUAGCUUUACAUUCUUGAACAUAAUUCCCUGUGUUUGUUAACACGGUGUGUGGCAUUGUGAAAGAAGUGAGUCACAUCUGAGGCACAUCGAGGCACAUAUGACACAUUCACACGUCAGAUAAAACAUGCUAGACGUUACAAACGUCCUAUUUGUGUCACGCAAACAAUGAAAAACAUUUAGGAUUACUUCACAUUCUCUCCGCUCACAACCACAAGAAGUAAGAGUAUGAACUCCACUUUCAAUGCACUUGGUAACAAUAAAGCUUUUGCUUUACAUUGUUUAGAGGAACACGAAGGAGCAUGCAAAUAUAAAGAAGAAUCCCUUGAAAUCAGACAUUUUCUCAUGCAACAUGUUUAAAUCUCUGUGUAUAAUUGGCUGCAG